GGCUGGCCAUGCCCCUCGGGACAAGGGUGUCCCCAAGGCUGUCCCUUGUCCCCUGGGCAGGCCAAGGUCACGGAGGAGGGGUUGGAGCAGGCGGAGGCGCUGGCGACCCGGCCCCGCCGCGGGUGCCUCUGGUGGUUCCUGUCCUGGAUGCUGGCCCUGAGGCUCUUCCACCCCGACACGCUGCGCCCCGUGCUCAUGGCCACAGCCUCCAUCUCCCCAAGGACCAGCUCUUCUACGGCUUCCUCAAGCCCUGGCUGGGGGAUGGGCUGCUGCUGAGC